rnacentral:rRNA from 1 species
GUGGAGGACCGAACCCACCAACGUUGAAAAGUUGGGGGAUGACCUGUGGUUAGGGGGGAAAGGCCAAUCAAAAUCCGUGAUAGCUGGUUCUCCCCGAAAUGCAUUUAGGUGCAGCGUCGCGUGUUUCUUGCCGGAGGUAGAGCACUGGAUGGUCUAGGGGGCCCACAAGCUUACUGAAAUCAGCCAAACUCCGAAUGCCGGUAAGUGAGAGCGCGGCAGUGAGACUGCGGGGGAUAAGCUUCGUAGUCGAGAGGGAAACAGCCCAGAUCGCCAGCUAAGGCCCCUAAGCGUGUGCUAAGUGGAAAAGGAUGUGGGAUCGCAUGGACAACCAGGAGGUUGGCUUAGAAGCAGCCA